rnacentral:lncRNA from 1 species
UCUUGCUUUUUGCAACCGGGUGACCGCGUUUUCUGCGCUACAGACUGCGUUUUUCUGACUCCUUUGUUUGAUAUCGUGUCGUAUCGUCGUAUUUAUGUAGUUAUUAGGAACGGCAAGCCUACGUUGUUGCGUCCUUUACCUGAAUAUCGUGACCGAAUCGAGUGUCGUCGAUUUGAAUCGUGUCUUGCGAACCAUCGUCGAACAAAAGGUCAUGGCUGGUCGCGGUUCAUCAGCGUUUGUUUUGAAACUGAUGGGUGCCACAAGGCAUGAAAGAGGUGACUUGCAGCAGCAAGACACCGCAAGCCUUCGCAGCAACUGGCUAGCCAGUGCUGCUCUGUUCUGAACUGUACUGCAUGUCAUGUGGAGGGUUUGUGCAAGCUCUCUGGGCGGCGACGCUAGCCACGGAGCUGGCCUCCCUCCCUUCCGUCAGCUGCAAUAUACUACAAGCACUGGGCUACAGCUGCAGCUAGCCCAUGGGUACCGUUCUGCGUCCUGUACUGCAUCUAGUUCGAAAGGCCAUGUGAAAGGCAGGUGUGGUCUUUAUGGGCUCUUAUUUCCCGUGUGUCGACGUGAGAAGGCAGCGGUUGUAUCGCCAAGGAAGUAGCAAUCAAUCUGCGCGCAUUUGUUCCAGCGGCACAGCGUUUACAAACCGGACUUUGCCCUUCAGCGAGGGGAAAGUCUACCGACUCGCCCUACAGUUGGUGAGCAUUGUGCAGCCGUGAGCGCGUAACUUGUCCGAAUGCUUUCGUCUGUAUACAGUGACAAAAUGACUCGCUGAAAUGCGAAGUACCAUACAGUACCAUGCCGUACAUCAAACCAUCGAUCACUUGCUGCAGCAACUUUGCGUUUUAAGUCGUAAUAAUAAACUGUAUUUUAAGGCUAAAAUCAUUAUUUCAAACUGCUCAAUUAUUCGGAAUUCUGCACGAUCCCCAUCGGGUCUGCAAUAUCGGUCGGUGGCUGUAUAACCUUUAAACACAAUGGUUACACACCACAGGUACCGGGGACCAUGACAUCAAUGAGCUGGCUUUCACCUUGUCCAAGGCAGCAGCGGAACACUACGGGCGGGACCCUGGAUCACUGCACCGUGGAUGCCGUUCUGUACCCUGAACGGCACUGCGUGUGGCUUAAGUGGCCAAGCAGAGGGUCAUUGCAUGACUAUUAUGAGGCGCCGCUAGCCAUUGUUUCAAACCGCCCUGAAUCGUGGAUCAAGCCUUGCAAGAUGGAAGUUCUCUUUAGGCCCAGCGCCUCUUGAUGGAUCAAGUCUUGUACGCCAUUCCCUCGUUUCUUUCAUAUAAGUAAAUUGUUGGUAUUUCUUUUAUGACAGUGCGCAUUACCUGCCGACCACGUUUUACAGUCGAAACUUCUUUUAUAUAGACCCCUUUCUUUGCUAAUGCCACCAGGCGGUGCUCCAGUUUGUUUGACGUCUCGGCGAACUUCUGAUUCAAAACAAGAAUGAACAAAACCCACUUUGACACUGCUGCCUAAAAUGUCGAUAAAACGUGUAACCACCAAUUCUCCAGGUGAGCGCCAAAAGAAUGAAGAAACGGGAGAUAUGUUAAAAUGUUUCGAAUAUUUUGUACACCAACUUGCCUCCUCCAAGACAUUAAAUUGUACUGCCAAUUGCCCUCAUUAAAUCUCCAACUUUGAUGUA